rnacentral:rRNA from 14 species
GUGAGAGACACUCCCGCCGAAAGUCCAAGGGUUCCUGCUUAAAGUUAAUCUGCGCAGGGUCAGCCGGCCCCUAAGGCGAGGCCGAAAGGCGUAGUCGAUGGGAACCAGGUUAAUAUUCCUGGGCCAGGAGGAUGUGACGGAUUGUGGCGGCGUGCGUGCCUUAUCGGAUUGGCGCGUAUCCAAGACAGUCCCAGGAAAUAGCCCUCCAUGAGAUCGUACCCUAAACCGACACAGGUGGACUGGUAGAGAAUACCAAGGCGCUUGAGAGAACGAUGUUGAAGGAACUCGGCAAAAUACCUCCGUAAGUUCGCGAGAAGGAGGCCCGGUACACGACUACCGGGGGCACAAACCAGGGGGUGGCGACUGUUUAUUAAAAACACAGGGCUCUGCGAAGUCGCAAGACGACGUAUAGGGUCUGACGCCUGCCCGGUGCCGGAAGGUUAAUUGAUGGGGUUAGCGCUUGCGCGAAGCUCUUGAUCGAAGCCCCGGUAAACGGCGGCCGUAACGAUAACGGUCCUAAGGUAGCGAAAUUCCUUGUCGGGUAAGUUCCGACCUGCACGAAUGGCGUAACGAUGGGGGCGCUGUCUCUACCCGAGACUCAGUGAAAUCGAAAUCGCCGUGAAGAUGCGGUGUAUCCGCGGCUAGACGGAAAGACCCCGUGAACCUUUACUACAGCUUGGCACUGAACAUUGACCCUACAUGUGUAGGAUAGGUGGGAGGCUUUGAAGCGUUGUCG